GACGAACGCUGGCGGCGUGCUUAACACAUGCCAGUCGAACGCUGAAGGCCUGGCUUUUGUUGGGUUGGAUGAGUGGCGAACGGGUGAGUAACACGUGAGUAACCUGCCCUCUUCUUUGGGAUAACGCCCGGAAACGGGUGCUAAUACUGGAUAUUCACUGAUCUUCGCAUGGGGGUUGGUGGAAAGGUUUGUUCUGGUGGGGGAUGGGCUCGCGGCCUAUCAGCUUGUUGGUGGGGUGAUGGCCUACCAAGGCUUUGACGGGUAGCCGGCCUGAGAGGGUGACCGGUCACAUUGGGACUGAGAUACGGCCCAGACUCCUACGGGAGGCAGCAGUGGGGAAUAUUGCACAAUGGGCGAAAGCCUGAUGCAGCGACGCCGCGUGAGGGAUGGAGGCCUUCGGGUUGUAAACCUCUUUCGCUCAUGGUCAAGCCGCAACUGUGGGUUGUGGUGAGGGUAGUGGGUAAAGAAGCGCCGGCUAACUACGUG
rnacentral:rRNA from 1 species